rnacentral:lncRNA from 1 species
CAGACUCCACGUGGCAUGUCUCGAUGAUGGCCAUGAUUCCACUCCACUACUCUUCACAACAAACUCCUCCUGACCCCGAGCAGCCCACUGCCAGACGGUUACAAACAUCGCUAUCAGUCUAUUCCCCCCUCCACCUAUAAAAGGGGGACCCCAGAUACGUUAUUCUCUAAGCUCUAAUUUCUAUCCCAAAACUUUGCUAAAAUUUUCGUUCGAGCACUCCAUUCUUGUUGAGGCAGAGAACUGACUUGAGUGUCGGAGGGUCUUGCCGGAGCAACCCCAACUCCGGUUUAGACUUCCUUUGCAGGUCCCGACGGCGACCGCGACUCCCUCGACUCCAGCUUCUCCGACGCAGGCAGAUUUUUGCACCAACAAGAUUGGUGCUAGAGGAAGGGGUGUGUC